rnacentral:rRNA from 1 species
UAUGCUUUGGGGAGCUGUAAGUAAGCUAUGAUCCAGAGAUUUCCGAAUGGGGGAACCCAAUAUCUUUUAUAGGAUAUUACUUUUCAGUGAAUACAUAGCUGAUUAGAGGUAGACGCAGAGAACUGAAACAUCUUAGUACCUGCAGGAAGAGAAAGAAAAUUCGAUUCCCUGAGUAGCGGCGAGCGAAACGGGAAGAGCCCAAACCAACAAGCUUGCUUGUUGGGGUUGUAGGACUCCGAUAUGGUAGUCUGUUAGUAUAGUUGAAGGAUUUGGAAAAUUCCGCUAAAGAGGGUGAAAGCCCCGUAGACGAAAUGCUGACAACACCUAGGAGGAUCCUGAGUACGGCGGAACACGAGAAAUUCCGUCGGAAUCCGCGGGGACCAUCCCGCAAGGCUAAAUACUCCCUAGUGACCGAUAGUGAACCAGUACC